GGCACCAUGGCCUAAUGGUAAGGCGUUGCUUUCCGGUGGCAAAGAGUGUGGGUUCGAGUCCCACUGGUGUCG
rnacentral:tRNA from 1 species